CAGAAAUCCAAAAAGGAAAAAACUGUGCUCUUCGACCGAUUAGCGAUUUCGAUUCUGCUUCGUGAGAUCUGUUCGAUCUUUGCUUCCUCAUCUGUUCAAUCUCUUCGACGCACCAUCAUGCUCCCAAUUUAGCCUUUGACAGGAAACAUUGGUCUUCAAAUUUUAAGGUUUUAUUGUACAGGCUUGCAAGCCCUUUCUGGGUGAGGAAACGUUACCGUUCGAAUUUUAUGGUUUUUGUAUAGAAGUUUGCAGGCCCCUUUUGAUUAAGGAAGCAGUGGCCAUCGUUUUUGCCGCUUUUGUAUGUAGGGUUCCAGAUGCUUGAGAUGAUGAAGAAUAAAAGAAAUUAAAUGCCGCUUUGGAUGAUAAGUUGAUGUUGAUGACAAGUACUAUUGAUGAUACCCACCGUUUCUCAUCUGUUCUAAUGCUGCAGGUUUGUAUUUCAGUGAAAAAAUUCUAGGAAAAACAAAAGGAGGUUGAGCCCAUCUACAUGGGGAGUCGAAAGAAAAAUUAAACUCAACAACUAGAGAAUGAGAAUGCGUCUGAUGAAAAAUAGGAAAUGAACACAUAUAAGGUAAUGUCACAAGGUGGACUUAAAAAGGAUCAAGUAUGCAGGGGAAUGGUAGGAUCAACAUAUCAAAGGUAGAGAUUGACUCUCUCUCAUGUUAAACUUAUACUGUGAUGUUUAUUAUUAUUAAAUUUUGGAAAAACAAUUGUUUAUCAUAACCUUAUCACAAUACUAAAUAACAGGGAGAGAGAUGAAAAAUAGAAAGGAAUCUAUUUUAUUGUAUGUUUACUUUGGAAAUUUUGGAUAACAGUCAUGAAUUAUGGUCUUAGUGCAUCUCUAUUUUUUUUUCUUCACGUUUUUGCUUACUGUUUAUAGCUAAAUGAUUUUUAUUUGGGUCUUCCAAAAUUUUAACUAUUACUCUGAAUCUCUGAAGAAGUUUUAUUAAUUUUUUAUUUAUUGGUUUCAAGUAUGGUUGUUGACUAUGUGAAUUUUAAGUUUUGCACAGUUAAGAGACUAGAUGGUAAUGUUUCAUUUCUCUCUUUCUCCCUUCUUAUUUUCUCAGCCACGAGUCUUAAUAAGAUACGACUGACUAAGAAUUUGUUAAUCAUUUUAACACGUAUGAGAUAAGAUAUUUACUUUUUAUGAUACAUUUCUAAUUUUUGCAAAUUACUUGAUUUACUAUUGUUAUAUGGUU